rnacentral:rRNA from 1 species
GAUCCUGGCUCAGGAUGAACGCUGGCGGCGUGCCUAACACAUGCAAAUCGAACGAGGUAAAUAAGAGGAAGUUUUCGGAUGGAAUCGUAUUUACCGAGUGGCGGACGGGUGAGUAACGCGUGGAUAACCUGCCUCAUACAGGGGGAUAACAGUUAGAAAUGACUGCUAAUACCGCAUAAGCGCACAGUACCGCAUGGUACGGUGUAGAAAACUCCGGUGGUAUGAGAUGGAUCCGCGU